UUUCCCAUUUGACUACCACAUUUUCUCUUUCAAAUAGAGUUUAGUGCCUAUGCUUAUGGGAUAGAUGAAAGGUGCCAUGAUCUGAAGAGGGGAAGCUGUUCUGCGUCUUUCCUCUAUAUGAAAUGGCUGAACAGGAAAAA